AUGCCUUCUAUUUAUAUUAAUAUUAUAUUAGCUUUUAUUAUGUCUUUAGUCGGGGUAAUAGUCUAUCAAUCCCACCUGAUAUUGUCCCUACUAUGCCUAGAAGGCAUAAUACUUAUAUUUAUUAUAAGUACUCUCGUAAUUUUAAAUAUACAUUUCAUGCUGGCAUCCAUAAUACCUAUUAUCCUCUUAGUUUUUGCAGCCUGCGAAGCUGCUGUAGGUUUAGCCUUACUAGUUACAGUCUCCAACACCUUUGGCCUAGAUUAUGUACAAACCUAA
rnacentral:lncRNA from 1 species